UUUCCGUAGGUGAACCUGCGGAAGGAUCAUUAUUGGAUUUUGAAACUGCAGGCUGCUGCUGGCUCUCCUCGGAGGGCAUGUGCACGCUUGUUGUCCAUUAUUUCUCCCACGGUGAACAAAUUGUAGACCUUUCAGUAGGCCUAUGUUGUUUUUCACAAUCUCUGAAUGUAAUAGAAUGGUUUUGAAUCUUGGGAAAUACAAUACAACUUUCAGCAACGGAUCUCUUGGCUCUC
rnacentral:misc_RNA from 1 species